GACGAACGCUGGCGGCGUGCCUAAUACAUGCAAGUCGAGCGAGACUCUUCGGAGUCUAGCGGCGGACGGGUGAGUAACACGUGGGCAACCUGCCUGUAAGACUGGGAUAACACCGGGAAACCGGUGCUAAUACCGGAUAAUCCUUUUCCUCUCAUGAGGAAAAGCUGAAAGUCGGUUUCGGCUGACACUUACAGAUGGGCCCGCGGCGCAUUAGCUAGUUGGUGAGGUAACGGCGCACCAAGGCGACGAUGCGUAGCCGACCCGAGAGGGUGAUCGGCCACACUGGGACUGAGACACGGCCCAGACUCCUACGGGAGGCAGCAGUAGGGAAUCUUCCACAAUGGACGAAAGUCUGAUGGAGCAACGCCGCGUGAGCGAUGAAGGCCUUCGGGUCGUAAAGCUCUGUUGUUAGGGAAGAACAAGUACCGGAGUAACUGCCGGUACCUUGACGGUACCUAACCAGAAAGCCACGGCUAACUACGUGCCAGCAGCCGCCGUAAUAC
rnacentral:rRNA from 1 species